UACGGAGGGGGCUAGCGUUGUUCGGAAUUACUGGGCGUAAAGAGCGCGUAGGCGGUCUGCCAAGUCAGGUGUGAAAGCCCAGGGCUUAACCCUGGAACUGCAUUUGAAACUGGCAGACUAGAGAGUGGUAGAGGGUAGUGGAAUUCCCAGUGUAGAGGUGAAAUUCGUAGAUAUUGGGAGGAACACCGGAGGCGAAGGCGGCUAUCUGGACCAUUUCUGACGCUGAGGCGCGAAAGCGUGGGGAGCAGACAGG
rnacentral:rRNA from 1 species